rnacentral:misc_RNA from 1 species
GUUCGCCAUGGCUUGCUUAUCCAGCCACUGCAUAAGCGGAGCACUGGUUUUUGCUUCUCUUUCCAGCAAUAUUGACGACUCUCCACCUCCACAGUCCAACACCGCACGUCCUCAUAAUAACAAAAACAACCCUCCAAUUCCUACUACUAAAUCAAAAAUCAGAACGAAACGCCGCCAAUCCAAACUUCAACAGCAGCUUUCCCUUAUCCAGAUUGAACGUGCGGUUGGCGCCGGCAGCUAUCGCGAUUCUGAACCCACGGGCUCGGACCAGUGGGAUAGGGACUCUAUUUUUAAGGGUCUGUCGCCGAAUUCUGGUGGUGCAUUGGAGGGACCGUUGGAGAAGAAGCUGCGAGAGACAGGAGAGUGGAUUGUCGAUAAAACGGAGGGACAAUUUCGUUCUUCUGGUGCUCCUCUUGUUUCUUUGCCUCUAUUAUUUGCGCACAAAUUGAAUCUUUUUACUGUCCAUUUCACUGGGUUCUCCAAAAAGCUUAGCUUCCAUUGAUGAAAGAGUCUUCCAUCUUAAAGAAUAGACGUCAUUCUAAUUUUGCAAAAUCAACUCUUUCUAUUUUACCGUUCCUUUUUGCUAGAAAAAGCCAGCAAAAUUAGAUGUAAAAUAUCCAAUUUUGUGCAAUUUCAAAUCAUAAUGACAGUAUGCUCAGAAACAAGGUUAUUUUGAUCCUCAGUCUCUUGCUGAAUUUAUUACAGGAUUGGUAAUUGGUAUGAAAGCCAAAGCUCUUCUUCUACUUCUAGAUCGUUAUUGAAUCAAAAUUGGACUCUAAUUAGAAGAUUUAGGAUGACAUUAUCGGCAAGUUCAAUGUUGUAUUUCUGAUGUGUAACUUCAUGUAGUGUUUGAUUGCCUUUUUCAUGUUGUAACUCUAGCUAUUAGAUUGGUCUAAUGUUGGUUUUUGCUGUCCUUUUACAGGUAAAAAAAUUUUGAUGUUUUUCUUUCAGUGGGUUCUGCCAAUUUACAUUUUCAUGUUUCUAGUGACUUCAGGAGUUGUGAAGCUACCCUUCAGCACACCCCUACUUGAAGAUCUUCUCAUGUGAAAAUGUUAAAUAUCUGUUGAAAUCUAUAAUCAGAUUAUAGUUGCUUCCUCCCUGUUGAUGCAAAUAACAGCCCAUUUACCUUACAAGAAUCAUCCUCUCAGUGUAAUCAAUUUGAAAUGCAAAAAACAGCAGAGCACAAAGAUUCCCAGGAAAGUGGGUGCAUCAAUCACCAAAAUUCUGUAACAGAAUAACGUUGUAAGUUUAGAUAAUUGAGCUAAGCAUGUAAUAUUCUACAAGUUAAUUGUAUAUUUGCAUUAUACCUUACAUAUCUAUGCUGCAAAUAACCUUUUCCUGUUUAUGCUACCUCCUGAUGUCUCCUUCUCAUCCUCAUCUUGCUGCUGCUACAAUAUUAAAGACUAAGCCCUCCUAGUUCCAAACCAUUCUUUUUUUU